rnacentral:rRNA from 1 species
UACGGGGGGGGCAAGCGUUGUUCGGAAUUACUGGGCGUAAAGGGCUCGUAGGUGGCCAACUAAGUCAUACGUGAAAUCCCUCGGCUUAACCGGGGAACUGCGUCUGAUACUGGAUGGCUUGAGGUUGGGAGAGGGAUGCGGAAUUCCAGGUGUAGCGGUGAAAUGCGUAGAUAUCUGGAGGAACACCGGUGGCGAAGGCGACGUCCUGGACCGGCAUUGACGCUGAGGCGCGAAAGCCAGGGGAGCAAAGCGGG